GACGAACGCUGGCGGCGUGCUUAACACAUGCAAGUCGAACGGAAAGGCCCUGCAUUUGUGGGGUGCUCGAGUGGCGAACGGGUGAGUAACACGUGAGUAACCUGCCCUUGACUUUGGGACAACUUCAGGAAACUGGGGCUAAUACCGGAUAGGAGCUCCUGCUGCAUGGUGGGGGUUGGAAAGUUUCGGCGGCUGGGGAUGGACUCGCGGCUUAUCAGCUUGUUGGUGGGGUAGUGGCUUACCAAGGCUUUGACGGGUAGCCGGCCUGAGAGGGUGACCGGCCACAUUGGGACUGAGAUACGGCCCAGACUCCUACGGGAGGCAGCAGUGGGGAAUAUUGCACAAUGGGCGGAAGCCUGAUGCAGCAACGCCGCGUGCGGGAUGACGGCCUUCGGGUUGUAAACCGCUUUCGCCUGUGACGAAGCGUGAGUGACGGUAAUGUGUAAAGAAGCACCGGCUAACUACGUG
rnacentral:rRNA from 1 species